rnacentral:ribozyme from 1 species
UGCCCAGCAACUCCUAUCCCUACCGCCUAGUGGUACUGGCCGGGGUACGAGUAACCUUAGGGAAGAUCGUGUAACUAGCCCCGGUGGGAGUUUUGGUCGUAUGCUGACAGGGAUGG